rnacentral:rRNA from 1 species
AUUGAACGCUGGCGGCAGGCCUAACACAUGCAAGUCGAACGAGUGGCGGACGGGUGAGUAAUGUCUGGGAAACUGUCCUAUGGCGGGGGAUAACUACUGGAAACGGUAGCUAAUACCGCAUACCAUCGGAUGUGCCCAGAUGGGAUUAGCUAGUAGGUGGGGUAACGGCUCACCUAGGCGACGAUCCCUAGCUGGUCUGAGAGGAUGACCAGCCACACUGGAACUGAGACACGGUCCAGACUCCUACAGGAGGCAGCAGUGGGGAGUAUUGCGCAAUGGGCGCGAGCCUGAUGCGGCCAUGCGGCGUGUAUGAAGAGGGCCUUCGGGUUGUGGAGUACUUUCGGCGAGGAGGCGUUGCUCGCAGAAGAAGCACCGGCUAACUCCGUGCCAGCAGCCGCGGUAAUUC